UACGAACGCUGGCGGCGUGCUUAACACAUGCAAGUCGAACGGAAAGGCCCUGCUUUUGUGGGGUGCUCGAGUGGCGAACGGGUGAGUAACACGUGAGUAACCUGCCCUUGACUUUGGGAUAACUUCAGGAAACUGGGGCUAAUACCGGAUAGGAGCUCCUGCUGCAUGGUGGGGGUUGGAAAGUUUCGGCGGUUGGGGAUGGACUCGCGGCUUAUCAGCUUGUUGGUGGGGUAGUGGCUUACCAAGGCUUUGACGGGUAGCCGGCCUGAGAGGGUGACCGGCCACAUUGGGACUGAGAUACGGCCCAGACUCCUACGGGAGGCAGCAGUGGGGAAUAUUGCACAAUGGGCGGAAGCCUGAUGCAGCAACGCCGCGUGCGGGAUGACGGCCUUCGGGUUGUAAACCGCUUUCGCCUGUGAUGAAGCGUGAGUGACGGUAAUGGGUAAAGAAGCACCGGCUAACUACGUG
rnacentral:rRNA from 1 species